rnacentral:tRNA from 1 species
GCCUGACUGGCUCAGUUAGAAGAGCAUGAGACUCUUGAUCUCAGGGUUGUAAGUUCAAGCCCCAUGUUAGGUG